GUGUUGCAGGACAGUGCCACCAUGCCCCGCCUGGAUGUCCUUUCGUUCUCAAUCUAGUGCUCCAUUAUUGUCAACUGAGUCACUGUGGCUGAUGGAGAUCUGAAUUACAGAAUCGGAUGGUAUGACUCACAUGACGGCUCAACAUCUUAUUAUUUUGUUCCCUCCAAGAGCUAGAGAUCAUCUAGCAAACCCCCAACACCAGGCACGAGAAACCCUCUUGAGUUGUUUGUCAGAGCUGUCCAAGAGACUCUCCAAACAUUGGAUGUUGAUGCUGUUGUCCUUGGUUUUCCCCAGAGGUGGAAUUUCCCUCAGGUAGGAGCUGCAUAGUAUUGGGAUACAAACAGAUAUGUUGACUAAUGGAAUCCAACUGAAGAACCAGACAUAAAUCUGCACACAUGUGGACACAAAAAGCCAGAAAGACACAAUGGAAAGAAGAAAGCAUCACCAACAAAUGGUGCUGGUCUGACUGGAUGUCAGCAUGUAGAAGAAUACAAAUAAAUCCAUACUUGUCACCCUGCACAAAACUCAAAAGUUCAAGUGGAUCAAAGACCUCAACAUAAAUCCAGAUACACUGUACCUGAUAGAAGAGAAAGCAGGCAAUAGCUUUGAACGCAUUAGCACAGAGAUGACUUUCUGAACCAAAUACCAGUAGUGCAGACACUAAAAUCAAUAAUCAAUAAAUGGGACCUCAUGAAACUGAAAAGUUUCUUGAAGGCAAAGAACACCAUCAUUAGGACAAAAUGGC
rnacentral:lncRNA from 1 species